CCAGUUGGAAACGACUGUUAAUACCGCAUAGUAUCUGUGGAUUAAAGGUGGCUUUUGGGCUGUCGCAGAUGGAUGAGCCUGCGUUGGAUUAGCUAGUUGGUGGGGUAAGGGCCUACCAAGGCUACGAUCCAUAGCUGAUUUGAGAGGAUGAUCAGCCACAUUGGGACUGAGACACGGCCCAAACUCCUACGGGAGGCAGCAGUGAGGAAUAUUGGACAAUGGGGGCAACCCUGAUCCAGCAAUGCCAUGUGUGUGAAGAAGGCCUUAGGGUUGUAAAGCACUUUAGUUGGGGAAGAAAGCUUUGAGGUUAAUAGCCUUGAGGAAAAGGACGUUACCCAAAGAAUAAGCACCGGCUAACUCCGUGCCAGCAGCCGCGGUAAUACGGGGGGUGCAAGCGUUAAUCGGAAUUACUGGGCGUAAAGGGUCUGUAGGUGGUUUGUUAAGUCAGAUGUGAAAGCCUAGGGCUCAACCUUGGAACUGCAUUUGAUACUGGUAAACUAGAGUACGGUAGAGGAAUGGGGAAUUUCUGGUGUAGCGGUGAAAUGCGUAGAGAUCAGAAGGAACACCAAUGGCGAAGGCAACAUUUUGGACCGAUACUGACACUGAGGGACGAAAGCGUGGGGAUCAAACAGGAUUAGAUACCCUGGUAGUCCACGCUGUAAACGAUGAGUACUAGCUGUUGGAGUCGGUGUAAAGGCUCUAGUGGCGCAGCUAACGCGAUAAGUACUCCGCCUGGGGACUACGGCCGCAAGGCUAAAACUCAAAGGAAUUGACGGGGACCCGCACAAGCGGUGGAGCAUGUGGUUUAAUUCGAUGCAACGCGAAGAACCUUACCUGGUCUUGACAUCCUGCGAUCUUUCUAGAGAUAGAUUGGUGCCUUCGGGAACGCAGUGACAGGUGCUGCACGGCUGUCGUCAGCUCGUGUUGUGAAAUGUUGGGUUAAGUCCCGCAACGAGCGCAACCCCUAUUGAUAGUUACCAUCAUUAAGUUGGGUACUCUAUUGAGACUGCCGCUGACAAAGCGGAGGAAGGUGGGGACGACGUCAAGUCAUCAUGGCCCUUACGACCAGGGCUACACACGUGCUACAAUGGGUAUUACAGAGGGCUGCGAAGGAGCGAUCUGGAGCGAAACUCAAAAAG
rnacentral:rRNA from 1 species